UACGUAGGGUGCGAGCGUUGUCCGGAAUCAUUGGGCGUAAAGAGCGUGUAGGCGGUCCGGUAAGUCCGCUGUGAAAGUCGGGGGGCUCAACCCUCGAAUGCCGGUGGAUACUGUCGGGCUAGAGUACGGAAGAGGCGAGUGGAAUUCCUGGUGUAGCGGUGAAAUGCGCAGAUAUCAGGAGGAACACCGGUGGCGAAGGCGACCACCUGGACUGAUACUGACACUGAGGUGCGAAAGCGUGGGGAGCAAACAGG
rnacentral:rRNA from 1 species